rnacentral:pre_miRNA from 1 species
UUAGCUCAUAUUUGUAUGGAAUGGGAUCGUUUGCGUACGUUUGUCGCUAGGGGCGCUGUUCCAACUGUAUACAAAAUUGAGUUA